CUACGGGUGGCAGCAGUGAGGAAUAUUGGGCAAUGCCCGCAAGGGUGACCCAGCAACGCCGCGUGGAGGAUGAAUGCCGUAAGGUUGUAAACUCCUGUUAGAGGGGAAGAAUAAUUCCGAUUGCAUCGGAACUUGACGGUACCCUCAGAGAAAGCCCCGGCUAACUACGUGCCAGCAGCCGCGGUAAUACGUAGGGGGCAAGCGUUGUCCGGAUUUACUGGGUGUAAAGGGCGCGCAGGUGGGCUUGAUAGUUAGAGGUGAAAUCCUGUGGCUUAACUGCAGAACUGCCUUUAAUACUUCAAGGCUUGAGUGCGGAAGAGAGAGACGGAAUUCCAGGUGUAGUAGUGAAAUACGUAGAUAUCUGGAAGAACACCAGUUGCGAAGGCGGUCUCUUGGUCCGUAACUGACACUUAGGCGCGAAAGCGUGGGGAGCAAACAGGAUUAGAUACCCCAGUAGUC
rnacentral:rRNA from 1 species